rnacentral:rRNA from 1 species
UACGUAGGCAGCGAGCGUUGUUCGGAAUUACUGGGCGUAAAGAGUGUGUAGGCGGUGCUCUAAGUCUGAUGUGAAAGCCCUGGGCUCAACCUGGGAAUUGCAUUGGAUACUGGCAGGCUAGAGUGCGGUAGAGGAUGGCGGAAUUCCCGGUGUAGCAGUGAAAUGCGUAGAGAUCGGGAGGAACAUCUGUGGCGAAGGCGGCCAUCUGGACCAGCACUGACACUGAGGCACGAAAGCGUGGGGAGCAAACAGG